CCUUCGGAGUGUCAAACAAACGAGAGUAGCUUCGGCAAAAUCGGACACGAUGAACAAGGAA
rnacentral:sRNA from 16 species